rnacentral:rRNA from 1 species
AAUGGGCGAGGGCCUGAACCAGCCAAGUCGCGUGAAGGAAGAAGGUUCUAUGGAUUGUAAACUUCUUUUGCAGGGGAAUAAAGGACGGUACGUGUACUGUUUUGUAUGUACCUUGCGAAUAAGGAUCGGCUAACUCCGUGCCAGCAGCCGCGGUAAUACGGAGGAUCCGAGCGUUAUCCGGAUUUAUUGGGUUUAAAGGGUGCGUAGGUGGAUUGUUAAGUCAGUGGUGAAAGUUUUCAGCUCAACUGAAAAAUUGCCGUUGAAACUGUCGAUCUUGAGUGCAAAUGAGGUAGGCGGAAUGUGUUGUGUAGCGGUGAAAUGCUUAGAUAUAACUCAGAACUCCGAUUGCGAAGGCAGCUUACUGGGAUGCAACUGACACUGAUGCACGAAAGCGUGGGUAUCAAA